CCUACGGGAGGCAGCAGUGGGGAAUAUUGGACAAUGGGCGCAAGCCUGAUCCAGCCAUGCCGCGUGAGUGAUGACGGCCUUAGGGUUGUAAAGCUCUUUUCUCCGGGACGAUAAUGACGGUACCGGAGGAAUAAGCCCCGGCUAACUUCGUGCCAGCAGCCGCGGUAAUACGAAGGGGGCUAGCGUUGCUCGGAAUCACUGGGCGUAAAGGGCGCGUAGGCGGCUGAUUUAGUCGAGGGUGAAAGCCCGUGGCUCAACCACGGAAUGGCCUUCGAUACAGGUUGGCUUGAGACCGGAAGAGGACAGCGGAACUGCGAGUGUAGAGGUGAAAUUCGUAGAUAUUCGCAAGAACACCAGUGGCGAAGGCGGCUGUCUGGUCCGGUUCUGACGCUGAGGCGCGAAAGCGUGGGGAGCAAACAGGAUUAGAUACCCGAGUAGUC
rnacentral:rRNA from 1 species